GCUGCCUUUUAGAGUCUCAGGGACCAUCUUUGGAAUAAGAUGGAAAAAUCCUCCUUGAAGCUGAAGAACUGUCUUCUGAGCAACUGGCACAAGGAAUACGUAGAGGCACAUUCUACAUGGGCGACUGAAUAUAACACAGGAAAAGGUCUCGUCCAAAUUCUGACUGAUAACAUCUGACAAUUUCUCGGAUUUCCUGAUUUGUUCUUGUGCACAAAAUCUCAAUCAAUACACGUUCCUGAGUUCCUGCUCCCUACAUGAAAUGAAGGGAAGAUUAUACAAAGAAAAAUGAAAUUUCUGCAAGUAAUUAAAUCUUCGUCAAAUAUUUCUUUGUUCUGUAGAACUAAAAACUAUAUAUUCAGAUGGAUGAUGUGAAAUAAAGAAUUGCUUUAAUUACCACUGUA
ensembl:lncRNA novel transcript